AUGCAACUUGAUGAGUCCGUCGAGGACGACAUUAUGUGGAAGCAUACGACUAGUCACUAUUCGGUGACCUCCGCUUAUAAGACGCAAUUCCUUGGCAUGGCCUUCUCUCCUUUGGACCAAAUCGUUUGGAAGGCUUGGGUUCCGUGAAAAGUUAAGUUCUUCACAUGGUUGGCUAUUCAAGAUCGAAUUUGGACGGCCAAUAGGUUGAAAAAGCGGGGAUGGAAUUGUGAGCUUUGCCCUUUCUGCAAGAGAGUACAAGAGUGCGGCACACACCUAUUUUUUAAAUGUUGUUAAACCCUGAGGCUUAUGGGUUUGGUCAUGGAAAAGUUAGGGCUCAAGGAUCUGGGAGUAGCCUCUUGGCAUUUGGAGGGCUCCCUAAAGGAUUGGUGGGCAAGCUAGUAGAACCGGUGCCGGCAUCAAGUAGAUCCGGCUUCGCUUACCAUGCUUGUAUCAUGGACCAUAUGGAAUGAGAGGAACGCAUCCGUAACAAGAGAGCGCCGCCAACAAUUUUGCUAA
rnacentral:rRNA from 1 species